rnacentral:lncRNA from 1 species
UAAAAAAAGAAAACUUUAGAAAUAAAUUCGGAGAAACUAUGCAGGAAUGAGACUGAAGCUGAAUAGGCACCUGGCAGCCAAUCAAGAUCAACCCAUCACAAUGGCUUGAAACCCUAAGUCUUACUCAACUCAGUAGGAAGAGGCAGUUACCAAGAAUUCUUCUUCAAUCAGAGGCACAACAUGAUCAGGAUAAAUAUUGA